rnacentral:lncRNA from 10 species
CAGAGUGAACCCUGGGACUUGUCAUGGGACUACCGGAAAGAGAAGCUCCAGCAUUCUAAUGGAGCUCCGCCUUCAGCACAGGUGUUUCUGGAUGAGAUUAGUAUUUCAGUCGGUGGACUCAGAAAAGUACCUAGCCCUGCCCAAUGUGAAUGGACAUCAUCCAAGCCUCUGAGAGCCUGAAUAGAAAAAAAAGAGGCAGAGGACGGAGAAAUUUGCCCCUUUUGCUUCCUGCCUGCCUUCUGAGCUGGGACAUGGGUCUUCUCCUGCCUUUGCACUGGGAUUUAUACCAUCGGCUUCUCUGGUUCUCAGGCAUUGGGACUCAGACCAAAUUACAUCACCAGCUUUCUCCUGAAUGUUCAGAUUGUGGAACUUCUCAGCCUCCUUACUCAUGUGAGCCAACUCCUCAGAAUAAAUGUCUUACUGGGAAGCUGGGCAUGGGGGCUCACGCGUGUAACCCAGCUAUUUUGGAGGUCAAGGCGGAAGGAUUGCUUGAGGCCAGGAGUUCGAGGCUGCAGUGAGCUAUAAUUGUGCCACAGCAUUCCAGCCUGGAUGACAGAGUGAGACCCGGUCUCUCAA